GACAUGUACCAAGAAAUAUCUUCAGGUGUGGAGAUAAGGGACGGUUUAUCUACUCCCUCUUUUCCUUUCAUUCUUUGGAAUGGAAUGACUCUUCUAAAGAACACACUGUAGGAAGUCUGAAUAUAUCCAACCUCUUGCCUCAACCAGAAACGAAACUUACAAUGUGAAAGAUGAUGACCACCCUUUAUAAAACAUCCUCAGCCCUUGUCCAGCCUUGUGUGGCAUGAGAUUGGAGAAGACCUUCAAGCACUGUCACUCCUUCAAAGAGUGGAUGUCCCACUUAUCUGACAGCAGCAACCUACCAAAAUCCCAGUGACAAAAGAAUGACACAGGGGUGAAAAGCAGCUUCCUGUCCUGGAAAACCAAGUAAUUUUGUACCUGAUCAGGUCAACAUGAGUAAACUCGUCAAGAUAAUUAGAAGGCCCUUAAAGCUCGAUGGUAAUCAAGCCCUCUUCCUAGUGGUGAGCAGAGACAGCUUGCACUACUUCCUGAAUAGUCCAACUGAAUUAUAUUGGGUAACUUUCAUUCACCAGGUAUCCAGUUUUGAAUGCGAUCACAACAAAAGAUCUCUCUCUGAACUGUAUAGAUUGUGCUAUAUGUUACCACACUUUUGUUUAUACAUUUAAUUUAGUGAUUACAUUAAAAACUGAGUUAGUAUAAA